rnacentral:pre_miRNA from 1 species
GUAGUACUCCCUCCGUCCGGAAAUACUUGUCGAAGAAAUGGGUAAAAAUGGAUAUAUCUAGAACUAAAAUGCGUCUAGAUACAUUCAUUUCUCUGACAAGUAUUUCCGGACGGAGGGAGUAACAU